rnacentral:rRNA from 1 species
AUUGAACGCUGGCGGCAGGCCUAACACAUGCAAGUCGAGCGAGCGGCGUACGGGUGAGUAAUGUAUGGGGACUGCCCGAUAGAGGGGGAUAACUACUGGACACGGUGGCUAAUACCGCAUACUAUCGGAUACCCCAUAUGGGAUUAGAUAGUAGGUGGGGUAAAGGCUCACCUAGGGGACGAUCUCUAGCUGGUCUGAGAGGAUGAUCAGCCACACGGGGAAUGAGACACGGCCCAGACUCCUACGGAGGCAGCAUGGGGGAAUAUUGCACAAAGGGCGCAAGCCUGAGGCGUCCAUGCCGCGGGGAUGAAGGAGGCCUUAGGGUUGGAAAGUACUUUCAGCGGGGAGGCGUUUCCCUAAGAAGAAGCACCGGCUAACUCCGUGCCAGGAGCCGCGGUAAAAC